rnacentral:rRNA from 1 species
UACGGAGGGUGCGAGCGUUGUCCGGAAUCACUGGGCGUAAGGGGCGCGUAGGUGGCGCGAGGAGUCUGUGGUGAAAGCCCGAGGCUCAACUUCGGGUCGGCCGCGGAUACUCUCGUGCUGGAGGGUGGUAGAGGCCAAUGGAAUUCCGGGUGUAGCGGUGGAAUGCGUAGAGAUCCGGAAGAACACCGGUGGCGAAGGCGGUUGGCUGGGCCACACCUGGACACUGAGGCGCGACAGCGUGGGGAGCAAACAGG